UGGUUUGACGAUAAAAAAACUGUCUUUCUUUACUGGCUUUUAAAUUAUCUUAAGAGUGAAGAGACUCUUUUGUUAUAGCGGGACGAGAAGACCCCGUUGAGCUUUAACGAGUAUUAUUAGUUUUAUAAUUACUGGUUUUAGUUGGGGCAACUAUUUCUCUUUAUUAAACAGAAAUAAAACUAUCUCGAAUUGAAUCAAUUAUGACCCCUAAUUAUUAGGAGAAAUAAAAUAAGUUACCACGGGGAUAACAGCGUAAUUUUUUUUGAGAGUUCUUAUUGACAAAAAAGUUUGCGACCUCGAUGUUGGAUCAUAGUCUCCUAGGGGUGCAGCAGCUCCUAAGGGUUGGUUUGUUCAACCAUUAAAACUAUACGUGAUCUGAGUUCAGACCGGA
rnacentral:rRNA from 1 species